ACCCUGUCUGUGUUAUUCAGGUGUGUUUGUGCCUGCUGCUGUACUCAGCGCCUGCCUGCUGCGUAGGAUUGCACAGCCUGUUUUGAGCGUGAUGCACUGUGAGCUGCAGCGUUAGCAAACAGCAGAGACAUGUAAAUCUCCAUCCCAGAAAACCUUCGAUGUUCCUUUACUCCUCUCAGCUGGUUGGAUGUGGAAGUCUCUCCGGAGCUCUUCUCUACUGUAAUCACAAGAUAUCCUGUGACCUCUCUUUGCUCUGAAACCCCAGAGCUGCGCUCAGGCUUUCUGCUGGAAGGCUUUACCGGAAUGCCAUGAAAAUGAUACCCACACUUUGCAGGAUGCACUGCAGACAGCGGGCAAAUACAAACCUGACCUCUUGAGAGGGAAGAAAAAAAAAACCUCACAUCGUAAGUUCCCUUUUCACCCACAGUAUGCAGAUCGAUACUAUAGCAGGAUGUUAAAUAUUUGUCAUCAGACAAUCACACAUUGAUGGAACAAAUCAAUGUCUGAUAGGAAGGGGCAGACACAAGGCGGUGCAUGCUUACCCAGCUCCUGAGGGAUUGAGAGAAACAAAUAACGGAGAGAUAAGGGAGAUGAAAAUUUGUGGCGAUAAGGUGCUGAGACCUUUUCUUUGAGGUAUUUUAUGGUUUUCUUCUCUUUCUUUCUCUCUCUUUAUGGUGGAUAUGAGGGCAUGAAAGUGUGUAAGAGCUAAUAAUGUGAGAUUCUUUUUGCAAUUUAUUUGUGGUCAUGUAAUGUUUGUUUGUCUGCCGUACUUUACUCUUAUAUAGCAGACACAUUACACUUGAAUAAAUGCACCCCUUUUCUGACAGUCUUAACGCAUAAUGACUUUUUUUGCCCAGUCUUUUUCUGUCUUUUGCCUUUUUUUUGCCUUUUUUGCUC